UAUAGUGUAGCUCAGUAGUAGAGCAUUUGCCUAGCAUGCACAAAGCUCUGGACUUCAUCCCCAGCACUGUAA
rnacentral:tRNA from 1 species